rnacentral:rRNA from 1 species
UAACACGUAGGAGGCAAACGUUAUCCGGAUUUACUGGGCGUAAAGCGCGUGUAGGUGGUUCUGUAAGUAGGGCGUGAAAGCUCCUGGCUCAACUGGGAGAGGCCGUUCUAAACUGCAGAGCUAGAGGAUGGUAGAGGGAGGUGGAAUUCCGGGUGUAGCGGUGGAAUGCGCAGAUAUCCGGAGGAACACCAGUGGCGAAAGCGGCCUCCUGGACCAUUCCUGACACUCAGACGCGAAAGCUAGGGUAGCAAACGGG